AUCUUCAAUGAAGUAUAUUUCAUGUAAUCUACUCUGCGCUGUGAGGCUGAAUUUUAGAAGGAAAAUUUUAGACACAAAGUGUGAUAAAAAAUAUAAAUCAGGGUAGAAUACAGAUAUACUACUGCCAU
rnacentral:miRNA from 1 species